ensembl:lncRNA
AUGAUUGCCAGCGGGACUCUGCUAGCUUCUUGGAUGGAUGCCUGCUGUCACUUGUCCACACAGCUCAGCCAGGCCCCCAUGAUGGGACAGGACAGGGCAUGGACUCCAGUGACCGUUUGGAAAUCAACUGCUUGGAACUACAGAGUUGAGGGAGAAGAAAGGCUGCUCGCCUGGCUCUUGGUCCAGGCUCUGGCAUGUGCACCUCCCUCAGCAUCUGGAGCCCCCCAGCCCGGCAGGGGCUCCGGCAGGCAGCUGUCGGUGGCUGGAGGGUCCACAGAUGUCAGCGAUCCAAGAUCUAAGGCACCCACCAGCCUCAGAAAACCAGAAAAAGGCCUCCACGUGGAAGAAGCUCAUGGAACGCCAGCACGCACCCUGUGUUCUGUUAGUAGACCAAUUCCUCCUUCCGGGGCUUUUCCAGUUCUGGAAUCCAGUCCUGGAUGCGGGAUGGGUCUCUUCUCCCAGGACAGCACCUUCACUUUUCAAAAUGAGCCUGCGGCCCGCACACACUCAGGGCCAGGGGUCCUCCCACCUGCUCCUCUGGCUUUCCGAGCGGGGCUCCCUCUGCCCCCACUGCCAGGGAAGCCGUGGGGCUCCGCACCCUGUGUCAUCUCAAGCUUCUAUCUUUUAGUAGAUGGAGCUUCAAGAAAAGCAAAUUGCUUCCAGCAGGGAGUGCAGCGCAGCAAACGCAAGCACCAGAUUUCAAUUUUCUAAUGGGCUGUGUAACCACAGGAUGAUGUAAUCCUGCCCUGAAUAGUGAUUAAUUAAAGACUAAAAGAGCCUCUUCUCUGGUUAAACAAAAGGAGCCUGACAAGUAAGGCAGGAGGCUCCCGUGAGGGCUGGUGUGCAGAGGAUGCUCCUUGUCAGGCCCCGGUGGCGCUAGCGCUGUGGGACCGGCACUGGGAUGUGGGUCAAGUGUCACCUCGCUGCCCACAGAUUCUACUGGGGCCACAGCCCCUGAGCCUACGUGUGACCCAGAGAUGGAGGCAGAGGUGGUUUAGACAAAAGAACACAGAAGGCAUGGCCAGGAGCUUAGAGGGCUGAGACUGGAGGGUCCCGGGCCUCCUCAGGAGGAGAAGCGGAGGCAGCUGACCGCACCCCCUGUUGCUCACCUGGGAGCGGGCUGCCCUUACGCCCCUCGGCACAGGAAGAAGGGGGAGCAUGGAGGAAACUAAGCCAGGACAGGCCAUGGGUGGUCCUGGAAGGCACCGUGGUGGUUGCCGGUAGAGUGCAACCACCCCUUCAGGAGCCCGCCUGUCUCUCCUGCUGGCCUCUGCCCGAGGCUCUAGGCUCCCCUGCCUGCCGAGGAAGCAGCACCCGGUGGGCCCGGCCACAUCCCCCUGACCCCGAAGCACCCAGUGCUCUCCCAGGCUUCCGGAAGACCCCAAGCACCUGCCUCCGG